rnacentral:lncRNA from 1 species
AGCGGCGGCCCACCUGCUCUCACCUGCGGCCAGUAUUCACCUACUGAAGGAAAGGGGAGGAAAAAUUAAGUCAAUCCAAUCAAGACCGGAUCUAUAACAUAAGCUGCCCCUGUAUAAUAGCGUUUCCCUCCUGGCUGCAAACACACAGAGUCUGGUACACAGGCACAUCUCACACUCCCCACCUGCGGCUGCUGCUCUGAUGACAGACACCAAACUCAGGUAAGGCUCCAUUUACACUUACUUUUGUCUACAUAAGUUGACCUUAAGUUUUCGAAGCUGAAGUAACCCAUAGAACAAGGCGCUGGCGGGGUUUUUACGAUAAGAUCUGUGCUCUGACAGAGGAUGUGAGGUACGAGAGGUAU